AUGUACGGUUGUAUAAUUGUGCAUCUGUUAGCAGCCAUUUUCACUUGCCACUGCACUAUGGCCAGCAGAAGCUCAUUAGGAUUUAAAGUCACAAGAGGCCCUAAAAUAAAAUAGGCAGAACUAGUCAGUCUUAAUUCUCAUUGACCAAGAAUGAUUUUGUGCAAAAAAUGUUUUUUCUAUUAUCCCAUAGACUUAUCUUAAUCUGUUCCAGGAAGCAAAAACCAUCUACACAUUAAAUAUGGUGCUUCCUUCAUGUGUUUUUAUUGAAAAGUACUACAAUUAGCAUUUAAGCUAAUACUCGUUCUCUAAAAUCUCUGAUUUAAUUCCA